AGAGUUUGAUCAUGGCUCAGAUUGAACGCUGGCGGAAUGCUUUACACAUGCAAGUCGAACGGCAGCAUAGGUGCUUGCACCUGAUGGCGAGUGGCGAACGGGUGAGUAAUACAUCGGAACGUGCCCAGUCGUGGGGGAUAACGUAGCGAAAGUUACGCUAAUACCGCAUACGAUCUACGGAUGAAAGCGGGGGACCGUAAGGCCUCGCGCGAUUGGAGCGGCCGAUGUUAGAUUAGGUAGUUGGUGGGGUAAAGGCUCACCAAGCCGACGAUCUAUAGCUGGUCUGAGAGGAUGAUCAGCCACACUGGGACUGAGACACGGCCCAGACUCCUACGGGAGGCAGCAGUGGGGAAUAUUGGACAAUGGGGGCAACCCUGAUCCAGCCAUGCCGCGUGAGUGAAGAAGGCCUUCGGGUUGUAAAGCUCUUUCGACGGGGACGAUGAUGACGGUACCCGUAUAAGAAGCCCCGGCAAACUUUGUACCAGCAGCCGCGGUAAU
rnacentral:rRNA from 1 species